AUGAACAUGAGAUUCACUAUGAAUUUUGGAGGUGAAUCAUUAGAAUUUCUCGAUGUCAUGGUUACUAUAGAGGGCUAUCGAAUCUGCACAGCGGACAGUGUAACACAGCCAAAGCCAGCAGUAAUGGUAGAAGCUAAACAGCUCAUCCACCUGGACUGUGAAUACAGCACGACCGACAGUACUCCAUAUCUUUUCUGGUAUGUUCAGUAUCCUGGUCAAGGCCUCAAGUACAUUCUUAGAAGUCUUGGAAGAUCGGAAGAAGUAAAGGCUGCUCCAAAGUUUUCAGCCAAGCAUGACAUAAAGAAAAAAGUCAUUCCUUUAAUGAUUUCUGACGCCACAGAAUCAGACAGUGGGGUGUACUUCUGUGCUCUGAGUGACACAGUGCAUCAACACUAUAGCUUUCCUUAA